rnacentral:rRNA from 1 species
UGGGGAAUAUUGGACAAUGGGCGAAAGCCUGAUCCAGCAAUGCCGCGUGUGUGAAGAAGGCCUGCGGGUUGUAAAGCACUUUCAGUGGGGAGGAGAGGCCCAGGAUUAAUACUCCUGGGAAGAGACGUUACCCACAGAAGAAGCACCGGCUAACUCUGUGCCAGCAGCCGCGGUAAUACAGAGGGUGCAAGCGUUAAUCGGAAUUACUGGGCGUAAAGGGUGCGUAGGUGGUUAAAUAAGUUAUGUGUGAAAGUCCUGGGCUUAACCUGGGGAUUGCGCCUAAUACUGUUUAGCUAGAGUACUGUAGAGGAAGGUAGAAUUUCCGGUGUAGCGGUGAAAUGCGUAGAUAUCGGAAGGAACAUCAGUGGCGAAGGCGACUUUCUGGACAGAUACUGACACUGAGGCACGAAAGCAUGGGGAGCAAACAG